GGGGAUUUAGCUCAGCGGCAGAGCGCUUGCCUAGCAAGCACAAGGCCCUGGGUUCGGUCCCCAGCUCCG
rnacentral:tRNA from 1 species